UGUGAACAUGAAUUGAAUAUUCAGAAGACAUUUGUUUAAAUAGUUCUAGAAAUCUGAGCUGUUGGUGUGGUAAUAAUAUUAGAGCUGGCAAUCUUUCCUACUGAAUCUCUACUCUGAGUCAUGUUACCUGAGAUUAAUUCUAUGUUUACCUGACAGCCUGGACAAAUGUGCUGUGUGAAGGAUGUAAAUCAAAUCAGAUCUUAACUGCUUACAUUUAAGGAACCUGGUCAUAUUUAAUUGUAAUAUGAACCAAUGAUUUUCUGAUUGCUGAUUCUAAGAGAGUCUUUGUGGAAAUCCUGUUUGGCUUUUUAUCAUUUUAAUUCUCUUUUCUGUUUUCCAGAACAGUUCUCCACAGUCGCUGUCCACAUGGGUCAGUGGGACCAAGAAGCACACUGCUAAUGUGUGGACUCUGACCAGCAACACCCAGCAAGACUCAGGCAGCGUUUUCUAUCUCCCAGCUGGAGUUUUUUUGUUUGUCUGUGACUGGAGAGUCAGAUUUUUGUUGAGGCUGGAGGAACAGCCUCACACUUGCAGAGGUUAAUACAUGCUACUGAUCCCUGAUGGGAGAAUCAUCACCUCUGCCAACAAAGAAGCCUGGUGGAUAUUUGUUUACAGACUGAUGAUGGGACACCAUGCUCUGCAUCUUCAAAGUUUGUCUCUUGCUUAUUAUUGAUAAACAGUAAUGUGAAGUAUGCUCAUAUCUAGUAUAACUGGACCAACCUGGUGCUCUUCAUUUAUGGAGGCUGUUGAGUCUGAAUGUUGGAUGUUGUGUAUCUCGUAUUCUCUGGGCUUUGUUGUCCUCAGUCUUUUUGCAGGAUCAGAAAACAAAACCAGGAUGACCGUAAAUGUUUCUUCUCCAAUUGGAUGAUGAUAAGACUGUGACACGGGAUGCCACCUUUAGUCUUGUGAUGAAGCAAAGCUCAGGAAGAAGUGUGAUUAAAUUGUACCCACAUGUGUGCUGCUGAGAAGGAUGUACAGGGGCACCUGCAGCCAAAUCCAAGCCUCCUCAGAGCGGCUGUUUGUGCUCACAGAUGGUGACGGUGUGGAGAGACGGUGGUGUUUCCUCAGAAGAACUAGCAGAGUCACCAACGACACGAGUCCUUCUCACCACCUUGACUUGCUGACUGAUGCUCGUCUGCACUGCACAGAGGAAAUCAACUGACCGAGGUUUGUCCAGUGCAGUGCUAUGAAAUGUGUAUUUGUUUUAUGCUUAUAGAUAUGUUUUUCUUGACAGAGGCUCUGCAGAGGUUGGACAAAGCAGAGAAAAUAUGUGCUUUACAUUUUACUGUGAUUUAUUGAGAUAUUUGUUGCCUGAUGUUCAGCAGGAAUGGAGGAAUGGAAUCAAAGGGAGAAGUUUUUGAUGUUUUUGUAAUGAUGUAAGUAAAUCUCCAGUUUCUGAGUGAGGGAGAGAGGAGUCAUCAUCCAGGUAAAGUGACGUGGAUCAGUGGAUACACUUGUCUCCCCUUUAAAGGAGACACUCUUAGAGAGAGACGAUCCGAGUCAUCAUAAAAUGUUAGUGCUUUCAAAUACACAAACAUUUUUAAAGGACAAAAUCGAACAUCCCACUUUGACUGUAAUACAAUUAAAUCUUUGCAUGUGUGUUUUCAAACUCUCAGAUGGGCAGGAUAUCACUGUUAGACUGUCUAACCUGCAGGAGCAGCACUGAAUGAUCACCACACAUGAGCAUGUUCCUGCAACAUUCAGCAGCUUUGCUUUUGUGUCAAAUGUCAAACAGCUGGAGAGGAAACUACACCAGUGUACUGGGAUGUUUCACCAACACGUGCCAGACGCUGUAACUUCAUGGUUUCAUCACCAGAGACAGCCCCGCCCACCUCAGGACCUCGCCAUUGAUCAUGAUGAUUAUAAUAAUGACAGCGAGCGGAACUAAGACUGUAAAAAUCCACGACCAGAAUGUUUAGAUGCUUUCUAAUUAUUAAUGAAUACUGAGAGCCUCUUGCUGUGUUUUGUCUGUUUUGUUUUUUUGUUUUUUUUUACCUCAUUUGUUACUAACAAAGUUCAACAAACUCACACAGUUUACAUUCUGUAUGUUUCCAUCUUUACCAGCCACACUCUACCUGCAUUUAAGAAAACAAACCGUAGAAAUCAUCGUUUUUCUCUUUUGUAAUUGAUGAUAAUUCAGUGAAGAUACUCUGCUGCUUCCUUUUAUUGCAUCACACAUUGCUUUAAGUUUUUCAGUGUCCAGUUAUUUUUUUACUGCUGUUUGAAUUCUCUGCAUGUUUGGCCCUGUAGACUGUUUAAUGGACUGCUUGUCUUGUAACCGCUGCCUGUUUUUGACUAAAGAUUUGGAUUUCUGACUUUAA